CAUUUAUAUUCAUGGUGUCACGAAAGUGAGGGUGCAAUAGUUUAUGAACAGGGUGAAGCACACUAAGCUGUCUACUUGCAGCAAUAACAAAUGGCUCAAUCACUGCAUGAGUAUGCAACCUGUGAUACAUGAAAGGUAUUAAAAAUGUUCAGCAAUAGAUUUAAGUUUGUGUUUGUUUUCUUUGAUAGAGUUAUAGCAUGUUAGGAUCAGUUUUUCUUUCCCCAGAAUCAAUUCUAAAACCUAGAAGAUGUUUCUCCCUAAAAUUGAGCCUGGCUCAGAAUCAAUUGUAUAAGGAUUUCCAAACAUGCACUUAUACCAGUGGGUGAUACGUUGAUGAUAGCCUGAGUCAUUUACUGCUACAUAAGCUUUAGCCAACUGCCAUAUGGAACUUUCAACACCAUUUUCUGCAGGUAGGUAAACUUUACUAAUGGCCCCAUGUUGAUCUUCUCCAGGAUGUGGCAAGCUCAAUUCAAUGGCUAGUGGCUUUAAAGUCCCAUCAUUUUGCAAGAAGAGAAUUGUUCUGCUGGCAUAAGUCUUUGUAGAAGUGGAGUUUAUCCUCCUCAAGUAUGGCAUCAGUGCAUCAUGGUGAUCUAAUAUGAACAACUUCUUUUCUCUAAUUGCCUAUUCCACCAAAUACAAGUAAAUAGUAUGAAUCAGAAUGUUAGAAAUUAAAAAAUUAACUAACUUUGAAGCUACAAAGCUGUCACAAAAUUCACAUAAAAUUUUAUCAUCAAAAUAAUAAUAUCAUUGCCUCAUCUACUGUGAGCCCUUUCAGGUUGCCCUGGAUGUGUUCUUUCCUUAUCUUACUGGCUUGAUCACCAUAUACUUCAGGAUCUAGUUUACUUGCUGGUGGGAAUUCCUGCAAUUUGUUUAGGAUAAUUGUGAGGAGGAAAUAGAUAAAGUUUAGGUAAAGAAAAAUUGAUCAUUAUAACAAACAUUAUAUAUUGUAGUUGAAUUCAAUUGAUUAUGAUUAGUCAAUGCUAAAAUCACUUAGGCUUACUUGGAGGCAGCUUAUUAUGACAGGAUUUACACCAGCCAACAUCUCUCUAGAAAACUCUUCAUCAGUUCUCCAUGCUGACUUAUCCUCUGCUCCAAAUCAUUAAGAAUAUCAUUAUCACUAAGACAUGGUUUAACAAAAUGCAUGACCUUUUUUAGGUAUUUAUGCAAGGUAACAUUUUAAGGCACGUGCGUGACUCUAAACUAGGUGUUUUGGAUAAAGAGCUUAAUUAAACACUUGUAGCAUUUCGCUAUGAGUUAAUUUGAGAAACUUGUUGAAUUAAACUCAAAAUAUGUUGUAGGUAUAUAUGAAGUGCUUAUUCAUAAUAGCUUAUGGUUAGGUCAUAACCAUUUUCAUAAACUCUCCCGUAGACUUUUAUAAGUGAUUAUUCUGAAAGAUAAAAUCAAAUAAGCCCUCCUAAACGAGGUAAAAAUUGUACCUUUAAUCACUUGAGGCACGGGAAAUUUGAGGAACCUUUCACCAUCGGUUCGGAGAAUUUCUUUGAGCAGCUCUGCAGGGAUGUUAUCCCUAAUUACCUUAAUUACACCCUCAGGCACCUUAAUCCCACCUUCAUAGAGUUUAAGUACAUCCUCAAAGCUAUCAAACUCAUCAGGGGUGCUAUUGAAUAGAGACUCCAGCUCAGGUUUGAGAACUUGAACUAUGGAUUUGAGUCCAUUAGCAAGAAAGUCUGCCAAUUUCAAGUGACCAAAUCUUUCAUCCCUUGGAACAUAGAUGUCUAAGGUCAUGACAGGGUUCAAUCUGCUCUCACUAUUAGCAUCUGGUAAGAUAACAACAUAAUAAAGAAACUUUCAGAAAUAUAACGUAAAACAUAUUCACAUGUCCUUAACCAACAGCUUAAGCCUUUAGGAUAGUCAGUUCAUGACAUGGUAUUAGAGUUUAACCUGAUUUUGCGGGUGGUCUACCGGUUCUACCUCUCCGAGGGUAGGGAUACUCAGUGGACCCUCCUAGAACUGGACGAGCAUAUUGUGGACCCUUAUCUGGAUCCCCCAAAUCAUUGUAAUAUGCAUAAUCAUAUACUCUAUCCCACUCUUGCAGUUCCCCUCUUCCAUCUCCUCUUAAACUCUCUAGUUCUUCUUCUCUGUACUUAAGAAGGGGCACUGGUGUUUCACUUGGAAGGUAUGACUGCAACACAUUAAAAACUUCAUAAUGUAACUAGCAAUAUACAGCUUACAAAAGAUAGUUAACAUAGCUUAAAGUUCUUGCAUAAUGUUAAUGGAUUGUUCAAUUCAGAGUAAAAUCAAUUUUGGAUGACAAAAUAAAUGUAUGAGAAUCAUUUUGAAGAAAUUAUUUCAGUCCAAAAAUCAAUUCUGCUAGAAGUUAGAGAUUAGUUUCUGCGUUGAGCAUAAUCCUGAGAUUUUACAAGUGGAUUUCCACUAUUACCCUAAAAUGUCAUUUUUUCAUAAAUGUAUUCAAACUUAUAUUAAUUCACUGCCAACUCACUUUUACUACAUUCAAUUUUAUCUAAACUCAAUGGAGAUAACACUGAUUCAAACACCCUGAGACUAUUCGACCCUACAAGUAAGUCAGACAGCCUUGUAUGUUAAUAGCUAUGUGUGUUUGUGUUUUUACCUUGUUACUGAAGAAAAUGCGAUCCUUUUCAUAUUUAUGUGCAGGGUAUACCCAAGAGUUGCAAAUAAAGUGAAUGACACCUUGGCCUGGAACAUCUUCAAGUGUCAAGCUUCUUAGGUAAAACUCACUGUGGUGAUUAUUUCUUAUCAAAAAUGCUCCUGGUGUGCCUAUAUCUUCUUCCCAAUCAAAUGUA
rnacentral:lncRNA from 1 species